rnacentral:lncRNA from 1 species
GCCAACACAACAACUUCCCUGUUCACAAUCCUCAACCUCAAGCAGAAGCCUUUCCACCACCUCAGUCUCAACCCCUGCCACAUGACUUCCCACCUGCUCAAGAUUAUUACGAGUCCCACGCCUUUCCUCCUACACAGGAAGAAGUGCAAGCAUUUCCCCCAACUCUUGUACAUGCCUUUCCUCAACCUCAUGCUCAAUUAUUACGAGUCCCAGUCUUUCAUCAGUGGCAACAUUAAUUCCCUCAUUGAGGUUUGAUAACGGCAGCAAGGUUAGUUUCAACCAAGUACUUUAAUUAGGUUCACAUUCCACCGGUAAACUUUACCUUAUACAUGAUACUAUAUCCACUUAUGAGGAUAAUUCUGAUCUCUUUCCUCAUAACAAAUUGUCUUGUGGUAACUAAUACUCCCUCCGUUUCAAUUUGUGUGAAACUAUGCGCACGAAGUUUAAGAAAAAAGAGAAGACUUUUGAACUCGUGGUGUAAAAAGAGGCAAAAACAUUGUACAAUGGUAAAUUGUUUUCAAAUAUGGAAAGAGAUCAUUCUUUUUUGGCACAGAUUAAAAAGGAAAUAAAUUCACAUAAAUUAAAACGGAGGCAGUAGUACCAUUGUUUAUAAUUCACUAUAACUCUCAACCGAUGAGGUGAUGCACCUGCCAAACAUUGGUGAAAGAUGGAAAGAGAUCAUUUUACAUAAUUACUGUCAGAUCAAUUCCCGUUCAUUCUGUAAUGGAAAAAGGAAUGCGUUCCCCAGUAUCAGGCAACACCCUAUGACCAAAAGUUACCAACUCAGAGCAAUGACCUCCAUCCCACUGCAGACACCUAAAACGCCGGAUCAUAUUGGUUCACCCUAAAAAUUGAUUGAGCUAAGAUUUUUGAAAGAAACAUCUCUGAAACUGAUUUUAUAACUUAGACAGACGUUCAAGAAUACACGAGCUUGUAACAAUUAAUACAAGAUACAUGGGCAAUGCAUGUAUUUAGUGGCUAGCUGAACAAAAUAGAGCAAACUUGUACAUUUAAUCCUCUAUAAAUGCGACAGUCAUCCUUACCAUGUGAGAUAGAGGUCACCAGCCCAACCACAAGCCUUUCUGAUCAUCCAUUGAAACCGUCAAGGCAAGUAUAAUUAUAAAAACCUAGAUGUUUAUCGUAGCAUCCCACAGUCGAAGCAACCCAUUGCGUCCACCACUACAAAUCCUUUUCCUUUCAAGGUCAGAGGCCACACAUCGUACCUGAAGAUAAAAAGAUGAUGGGAUCAAAACUUGGAGAAAAUGUUACAUUAUUUAAUACUGCAGCUAAUCUUUUGCAAAGCAGCAGGGCAAGGCAAGAAUUUUAAAAAAAAAAAACUAACAGGAAAACUGGAAUAGUGGAGACUAAAGUUGUAAUUUCUGACAGGGCAAGGCUAGAUUUGGCAACUGUGCAAACAAGGCGCGUGAUGGAAGCCAAAAUGAUGUUGGCAAAACACAAGCCCGUAACCUUCUUUUUCCUAAUAGAUCGAUGAGAAAUUUUACUAAACAAAGAAGCACCCUUCUCCAUGGAGACCCCCAUCUGACCUCUUUCAAAAUCAACUGAAGCCUUAUGAAAGAGAAGACGCAGGAUACGAAAUACA